GAAUGUGUUCCAGUAUAUGUCAAAAACAUAAUUUAAACAUUUCAUGCUAACAAUCUUGAAUAUUUUAAAAUGUCAUCUUAUAUGAUAGCAAUAAAUUAUUAUUAGGAUCUUUGUUUGAUUAGUUUUAUGUUUGAUAAACUAUUAAUAGGGAAAAAACAAAGAGAACUACAUGAUAUCUUGCAUAUUUACAUUGUUUUAUCCAUUCAUCCAUGAGCAUUUUCAUCAUAUAGAUUAGGAUUUAGCCAUGUCUAGGUUGCAUUUUGCAUUCAUUGUCCUUAUUAGGUGCUGG
rnacentral:lncRNA from 1 species